CUGUGGAAAGAUUCAAAUCUCAAGGGAGCACUGAAUUAGCUUCAUGCAGCCCAUGGAUUCUCACUAUGUCUACCUUGGUGGGCACAGAGAAUGUAUAGUGAAUAGGGAUAAAAAAUAGAGUUGGUUUUCUUUUCCCAGAAACAACUUGUCGUAAUAUCUAAAUAGCUUAAUAUUUUGAAUUUGCAAAAUGAGGUUCUCUAGAUCCUAAUGCGAGCUUCUUUCUUUAAGUAGUUUAUUCCCCCUUUCUCUGUAGAAAUCUUCAUUUACCUUUUCCUCGCUGACUUUUAAACGUGUGAUAAAAAUCUAACAUGGAGAAGGAGUUGUGGGCACUUAGCUCAACAAAAACUGUUUAAGAUGACUUUUUCUUCUUAAUCAUAGAGCUUUUUUUCUCGUUUGGGUUUAGCAAAGAUGAGAGUAGUGCUGUGCAGAUGGUAAGUAUAGAAGCUUUUGAAUAAAAGCUGGUCAUGGUUAACCCUCAGACUGUAGCUCUAAGAUGCUUUAAGAAUGUGUUCUGAGCCCUUCGAGAGCUGUGAAAUGAAUAUGGCCAUUUAUGAGGCAGUAAUAAGAACCUUCAGUGAUAGUUUGACUCAGAAGCUAAUCUUAAGGGUUGUGAGUUUUUAUCAAUCACUCAUCCUUUUCCUGGACAUGUGGCUUAAAACAACCUCUUCCUUGGAUGAAUCCUCCAUGUUCUAUUUUUCUUCUCAUUAUCUGUCUGUUGUUGUUGUUGUCAUUCCUACUGUUCAUUUCCUCUUUCACUGCAACUUUUGUAUUUGGUUCAUCUUUACCUUCUUAUUUUCACGAUUUCUCUGACUGGCAAUCACUCCUUAGAAAGCUUCACAAAUCAUGUCAAGCUGUCACCAUCUCCUCCUUAUUCUGUUCCUUUUGCUACUUCUCACUCAUUUUCUUUUCUUCUUUUCAGUUUUGUAGGCUCCUACCAGUGAAAGCCUCCUCACAACUCUCUUCUUCUCCCCAAGGAGGCAGCCAAAAUUUCCCAAGCUGAGGUCAUGAAGCACAUCAUUAAAUAUCAAAUUGCCCACCUCUUCCCCACCACACACCACCCAUUUUCACAGGUGAAGAAACUGAGGCCUGGAGAAGUCAGGUGACUGACCCACAGUGUCAGGAACUAGACCCACUGCCCCAGGUGAGAGGCUUCCUGCCAGCCAGCUGUGCUGUAAUUAUUUAAUGCUGGACCAUUUCAUUUGGCACACAGUAAUCCUAAAAGCAGGAUAAGCCAACUCCCGGUCUUGUAUUUGGGUUGUUGGAUGUUGUGAGCACUUUUGAGAAUUUUUGUGGG
rnacentral:lncRNA from 1 species